rnacentral:lncRNA from 1 species
UCCCUCUCUUCUAAAAAUCAGAACACGCCUCUCUCCUCCCUCUCGAAUUCUGCCGCCUCCGUCUCCGGCCGGCGUCGACUGCCGCCGCGCCUAAGCCCGGCGUUCUCCUCUCUCUCUCUCUUCUGUAUGCAAGCCCCAGGUCUCUCUCUCAAAUCAGACACUCCCUUUGGUCAUCUCUCUCCCUCUCGAUCCGUCUUCAGCCAAGGUGUCCGCCGCCGCGGCUCCGGCGCGGUCGUGCCUGGCCGAGGGCGGCGCCUCUUGCCGUCACACUCUCCUCUCUCUCUCAAAUCAGCAGAAACAAUGGAAGCCCUACUCCCCCUUCCAAAUCGAGCCCUAGCUCUACCAAAAUCAGGAAUCGCCGCCGCCGCUCCUGAAUUCCGGUGAACGGCGGUCGAACCUCCU